rnacentral:rRNA from 1 species
AUUGAACGCUGGCGGCAUGCCUUACACAUGCAAGUCGAACGGUAACGGGCCUUCGGGUGCCGACGAGUGGCGAACGGGUGAGUAAUGUAUCGGAACGUACCUUUCAGUGGGGGAUAACGUAGCGAAAGUUACGCUAAUACCGCAUAUUCUGUGAGCAGGAAAGCAGGGGAUCGCAAGACCUUGCGCUGAUUGAGCGGCCGAUAUAAGAUUAGCUAGUUGGUGAGGUAAAGGCUCACCAAGGCGACGAUCUGUAGCGGGUCUGAGAGGAUGAUCCGCCACACUGGAACUGAGACACGGUCCAGACUCCUACGGGAGGGAGCAGUGGGGAAUUUUGGACAAUGGGGGCAACCCUGAUCCAGCCAUGCCGCGUGAGUGAAGAAGGCCUUCGGGUUGUAAAGCUCUUUCGGCCGUGAAGAAAUCGUAUCAGCUAAUACCUGGUGCGGAUGACGGUACCGGCAUAAGAAGCACCGGCUAACUACGUGCCAGCAGCCGCGGUAACAC